GGCGACAUAGCUCAGGCGGUAAGAGCGGCUGUCUGGCAGUCGGGAGGGUUGCCGGUUCGAAUCCCCCUGUCCUGG
rnacentral:tRNA from 1 species